rnacentral:rRNA from 1 species
ACGAACGCGGCGGCGUGCCUAAUACAUGCCAAGUAGAAACUGAGGAGAGGAGCUGGUUCUUCUUGAAUGAUUGCGAACGGGUGAGUAACGCGUAGGUAACCUGCCUUGUAGCGGGGGAUAACUAUUGGAAACGAUAGCUAAUACCGCAUAACAAUAGAUGACCCAUGUCAUUUAUUUGAAAGGGGCAAAUGCUCCACUACAAGAUGGACCUGCGUUGUAUUAGCUAGUAGGUGAGGUAACGGCUCACCUAGGCGACGAUACAUAGCCGACCUGAGAGGGUGAUCGGCCACACUGGGACUGAGACACGGCCCAGACUCCUACGGGAGGCAGCAGUAGGGAAUCUUCGGCAAUGGGGGCAACCCUGACCGAGCAACGCCGCGUGAGUGAAGAAGGUUUUCGGAUCGUAAAGCUCUGUUGUAAGUCAAGAAGCAGUGUGAGAGUGGAAAGUUCACACUGUGAACGGUAGCUUACCA